CGCCCAACAGCUAGCCCCCCCCCCCCAUAACCCAACACCUACUUAUUUAUAACCCCGAAUGCACUAGAACUAAUAAUCAAACCAUUUUUCCCCCUUAGUAUGGGCGACAGAAAAGGAAUCUAGGAGCGACAGAAAAAGUACCGCAAGGGAACGCUGAAAGAGAAAUGAAACAACUCAGUAAAGCCAAGAAAAGCAGAGCUCCUGUCUCGUACCUUUUGCAUCAUGAUUUAACAAGUAUAACCAAGCAAAAAGCAUUUUAGUUUGGCCCCCCGAAACCAAGUGAGCUACUCCAAGACAACCUUUAAUUAGGGUAAACCCGUCUCUGUGGCAAAAGAGUGGGAAGAGCUUCGAGUAGAGGUGACAGACCAAUCGAACUUGGUAAUAGCUGGUUGCUUGAGAAAUGAAUAGAAGUUCUGCCUCUUACAUUCUCACCUCAAACCCGGGCAAUAACAGCCCGACCCACAGGUAAAUGAAGGCAAGAGAGUUAAUCAAAGGGGGUACAGCCCCUUUGAGACAAAACACAACUUUUCCAGAAGGGUAAAGAUCAUAAUUUUUAAGGUAACUAUGUUUUGGUGGGCCUAAAAGCAGCCACCCCAUUAGAAAGCGUUAAAGCUCUAACAUAUUCCCUCCCUCGAUCCCGAUAAUAAAUCUUAACCCACUAAAUAUAUCAAGCCGUCCCAUAAGCACAUGGGAGUGAUUAUGCUAAAAUGAGUAACCAGAGAACACCACCUCUCUCCCUGCACACGUGUAAAUCGGAGCGGACCCCCCACCGAAAUUUAACGAUCCCAAAUAAUAGAGGGCAUUGAAUGAUAAACAACAAACAAGAAAAUCAUCCAAAAUAAUACCGUUAACCCCACACUGGUGUACUUCAAGGGAAAGACCAAAAGGAAAAGAAGGAACUCGGCAAAUACCCCAAAGCCUCGCCUGUUUACCAAAAACAUCGCCUCUUGCUAACUACACAUAAGAGGUCCUGCCUGCCCUGUGACCCCUGGUUCAACGGCCGCGGUAUUUUGACCGUGCAAAGGUAGCGCAAUCACUUGUCUCUUAAAUGAGGACCUGUAUGAAUGGCACAACGAGGGCUUAACUGUCUCCUUUUCCCGGUCAGUGAAAUUGAUCUUCCCGUGCAGAAGCGGGAAUCCUAACAUAAGACGAGAAGACCCUAUGGAGCUUUAGACUUUCGAACAGAUCAUGUAAGCUACCCCCAUGAAAUGGGUAAUAACUAUUGAAUUCCUGUUCUCCUGUCUUUGGUUGGGGCGACCACGGGGAAGAAAAAAACCCCCAUGUGGACCAGGAGCACAUUACUCCUACAACCAUGAGCCACAGCUCUAAUGCACAAAACCUUUGACCAUUAGAUCCGGCAAAGCCGAUCAACGGACCAAGUUACCCUAGGGAUAACAGCGCAAUCCCCUUUAAGAGUCCAUAUCGACAAGGGGGUUUACGACCUCGAUGUUGGAUCAAGACAUCCUAAUGGUGCAGCCGCUAUUAAGGGUUCGUUUGUUCAACGAUUAAAGUCUUACGUGAUCUGAGUUCAGACCGGAGUAAUCCAGGUCAGUUUCUAUCUAUGACACGCUCUUUUCUAGUACGAAAGGACCGAAAAGAGAAGGCCCAUACUCCAAGUACGCCUUACCCCCGCCUGAUGAAACUAACUAAAACAGUCAAAAGGGCGUCCCCUCAUGCUAUAGAAAAUAGCAU
rnacentral:rRNA from 1 species